AUUGAACGCUGGCGGCAGGCCUAACACAUGCAAGUCGAGCGAGCGGCGGACGGGAGAGUAAUGUAUGGGGAUCUGCCCGAUAGAGGGGGAUAACUACUGGAAACGGUGGCUAACACCGCAUAAUAUCGGAUGAACCCAUAUGGGAUUAGCUAGUAGGUGGGGUAAAGGCUCACCUAGGCGACGAUCUCUAGCUGGUCUGAGAGGAUGAUCAGCCACACUGGGACUGAGACACGGCCCAGACUCCUACGGGAGGCAGCAGUGGGGAAUCUUCGGCAAUGGGCGCAAGUCUGACCGAGCAACGCCGCGUGUGUGAAGAAGGUUUUCGGGUUGUAAAGCACUUUUGUUGGGGAAGCGUUAUCUAACCAGGAAGCCACGGCUAACUCCGUGCCAGCAGCCGCGGUAAUAC
rnacentral:rRNA from 1 species